UACGUAGGGGGGCAAGCGUUGUCCGGAUUUAUUGGGCGUAAAGAGCUCGUAGGCGGUUCGGCAAGUCAGAUGUAAAAACUCCAGGCUCAACUUGGAGAGGCCAUCUGAUACUGCCGUGACUAGAGUCCGGUAGAGGAGCACGGAAUUCCUGGUGUAGCGGUGAAAUGCGCAGAUAUCAGGAGGAACACCAGCGGCGAAGGCGGUGCUCUGGGCCGGAACUGACGCUGAGGAGCGAAAGCGUGGGGAGCGAACAGG
rnacentral:rRNA from 1 species